AUGAUAUGUGUGCAUGAGUAUUCAUUUAGAAUGGUUGGACAUGAGUGGUUCAACAUUCUAAUGAAGUGCAUGAAUCCAAAUUAUAAACCCAUUGGAAGGAAGGCAAUACGAGCCGAGUGCAUGAGGGUUUACAAGAACGAAAAAGAGGUGCCUAAAUCUCUCAUAAAGGGUGUGAACUCCAUAUGUCUAACUACAGAUUUGCGCACAAGCAACCAAACCUUAUCUUACAUGCGUGUGAUUGCACACUAUAUAGAUGGGAAUUGGAACUUACAAACCCGUGUGCUUGCUUUCAUGGAGUUGGAUCCUCCUCACUCUGGAAAUGUCAUUGCGGAUGCUCUCUAUGCAUGUGUGACAGAAAGAAUAUUGAGAACAAAAUUAUGUCUAUCACACUUGACAACCCUUCAAACAAUGAUGGUACGAUCGAUGCUUUGA
rnacentral:rRNA from 1 species